rnacentral:rRNA from 1 species
UACUCCUACGGGAGGCAGCAGUGGGGAAUAUUGCACAAUGGGCGCAAGCCUGAUGCAGCCAUGCCGCGUGUGUGAAGAAGGCCUUCGGGUUGUAAAGCACUUUCAGCGGGGAGGAAGGCGAUAAGGUUAAUAACCUUGUCGAUUGACGUUACCCGCAGAAGAAGCACCGGCUAACUCCGUGCCAGCAGCCGCGGUAAU